rnacentral:hammerhead_ribozyme from 1 species
AUCUAGCUGACGAGUCCCAAAUAGGACGAAAUACGCGUCCUGGAU